rnacentral:rRNA from 1 species
AUGUCGACCUCCUCGUCAGCCCCCCGUUCCACGUGGCCGGUGUAUGGUCCAGUGCCGAUGACUCAAUGCACUGACUGCCCACGGACUGCGCCACUGAAGCGGUUGACUUCGAAGGAGGAGAAGAAUGGGAACUUUGGGCGCGAGUUCCUCAAAUGCGAGAGCAAGCCGGAGGGGCAGAAAUGCCACCAUUUCGAGUGGAUGGAUGAUUACAUCCAGAGGCUUCAAGGGUUGGGCUUGCUGGAUUCGAGGGGGAAUGCAAUCCGCGAGUUCAAUCUGCCCCAUGACAGUGCCGCUCCGGCAGCAGCAGCGCGUCCGGAAUACCCGAUGGUGGUAGAUGUCGAACUGAAGACGGAAUUGAAGAAGAUGAACAAGAACUUCAAGCAGCUGAUUGAGUUGAAGAAGCAAUCCAAUCUGAUAGCUUUAGGAAUACUUGCUCUAGGAAUUUUUUACUUGAUGGCCAUCUCUCGUUAG